UAUAAAUAAAGGGAGAGAAUUUUUUUAAAAAAAAAUGUAAAGUGUGGGAGAGAGAGUGAGAGAAAUAAAGUGAGAAUUUUUUUAAAAAAGAAGUGAAUGUGAAAGAGAGAAUGAGAGAGAGAAACAAAAAAAAAAAAAAAAAAAAAAAAAAAAAAAAGUGGGACCCACAGGGCCCCAAACCCGAGGAAUUCUACACUGUCACACUUGCACCACGUCAUCAAUAACAAGCCAAUUACAUUCCUUCUUUUUAAAUAAAAGUACAAUAAAAAUAGUUUUUUAUAAUUAUGAUGGGACAUAUAUUCUUAAAAGGAUUAAUUUGAUUGGUUUGUUACGCCACGUCACUAAUAUACCCGUUGCAUUCUAGAAUUUUUCCCCAAACCC
rnacentral:lncRNA from 1 species